rnacentral:lncRNA from 10 species
GUUCACAGCAUCUAAAGGAGCUAGGAAUGCAUGGGAUGCUUAUGGAAUGUGCGAGAACACGGACUUCAUGGCUGAGACAGAGCUGAGAGCAGAGAAAACAGACUCAUAAAAUCCUGGCAGAAUCUUUCCAUUCUAAUAGAGAAAAGAGGAAGGUAUGGAAAAGAGUGAAAUUGGCAUAAAAAAUCCAAUAAAGGGCAACGAGCAGGAAACAACAAAAACAUGGGAAACUGCCGACCUGAGGAAUCGCGCUCUUCUAACUUUACAGCUUCACCUGCCGUGUUUGCUCCUGGAGGACUGAGACUUUUGUCUGAUUCGUCUGCUGCUGUCUUCCCGAUGCCUAGAACACUGCCUGAUGCACGGGAAGUAUUUGUCAGAUACAUCCCAUGGCUUCUAAUGCCAUUUGCAAGGAUGAAAGCUGGGUGUGCCCGGCUGUACGGCAAUACUUCCAAAGGCCUGUAGGACUCCCCAGUGACUGUCCCAUUCACCAGGAGGAGGACUGCAGUCACCUGCAUUGUCCUGGGAAGGUCAGCCAGGCCUUUUCCCAAUGUCUGUCUGGGAAAAGCCCCGGUGUAGUCUGCUCGGUCCUACACCCAGAAUCACGGGGGCUUCAGGAGCAGGCAUUACGAGGCAAGGAGUAGCUUCUCCCCCUCACCUCCCACUCAGCAGAACGCACUAGCCCUGUGCUCUUCUGAUCCUGAAGGCAGCUGAGUCUGAAAAGUUCCUGUACCUUUAAAGGUACUAGAGGCAGUGUGGUGCCCACUCAGGAACUGCAUGAUUUAAAUAGGUUUCUAGGAUAAAGGCAACUCGUAGCACAAAGGAACAAGUCCCAGGGAGUGGCAUUCCAGAUCAUUUGAUUCCUGAGCGAAGGAAUUAUUAUGGUGUGGAGGUGGGGACCUCCUUACUACAUUCCAAAUUGCAAUAAGGUUGUAAGGGUUUUCUCUUCCAUUCUGAAGUACUUUGACAAUAGUUUUGAACUUCAAAAAUGUUUAUUAAAGGUGUUUUCACAGCAGUUUCAUAAUGUUUAAUUUGUUAAUUACUGGAAUUGAUGCUAAAUAAAACAGGCAAGUAAUACUUCAGAUGGCUUCAUCUUCAGAGUCUUCUUCAUGUGUGACUCAAAAUGCACAAUUUUGGCCGGGCACAGUGGCUCACGCCUGUAAUCCCAGCACUUUGGGAGGCUGAGACAGGCGGAUCACCUGAGGUCAGGAGUUUGAGACCAGUUUGGCCAACAUGGUGAAACCCCAUCUCUACUAAAAAUACAAAAAUUAGAUGGGCAUGGUGGUGUGUGCCUGUAAUCCCAGCUGCUUGGGAAGCUGAGGCAGGAGAAUUGAUUGAACCCAAGAGGCGGGGCUUGCAGUGAGCCGAGAUCCCGCUCCAGCCUGGGCAACAAGAGCGAGACUCCGUCUCAAAAAAAGAAAAAAAAAGCACAAUUUCAGGACAGCCUAAGCAAAUAAAAAAUGGGAAAUGGAAAUGGAUUCGAAGCAGGGAGGACGUUCCGCCCACUGUCACACCGAAGGAAUGGUGGAGGCUGUGAGUCCUCCGCCCACUGUCACACCGAAGGAUGGUGGAGGCUGUGAGUCCUCCUGUAAGCCGCCGCUGGAGAAGGGGCAGCUCUGGAACCUGACGACAUUCUCCUAUCUUGCAUGAGGUGGAGACAAAGAGUCCUUCUGCGCUGGGACAGGAUGAGGGCGAAGUGGUGACUUCAGGUCAGAAGCAGAGCCUUGGGGACCUCUGAUUCUCAAGGGCGAGCUCCCUCCAGAACCCCAAGAGAUGGCCCUGACUGCAUGGGAAAGCGUGUCUCACCAUUGCAAUGUUCUCUAAGUCUGGAGGAGGCGGAGCCCAGUGAGAAUGACAGGCAGACCGCAAGGAGGCCCGGAAGCCCCCCAUGGCGAGGAUGCAUCCAAGUGUAUUCUGUAGGAGUGACCAGUGGCCACGUGGGUAGUGGGCAGAGCUUGUUUUCCUCCAAUAUCAGCGUACAGAGCAGGGGAGCCUGGUGAAGGUUUCUCUCUGAAAUCAUGGAUUCAGCUGUAUUAGUUUCUAUCCAAGGCUGGCAUAGCUCACCUUCCACUCCAGCAAUGACCUCGGGCCAGCUGUCACGAGCCUUCUCACCACGAGGAUGGUCUGGGGUGGUGAGAUCUCACUGUUGGCCAUAAUUCAUUCAACAUUUCUUCACUUCUCUGCUUGUAAGUUUUCAUUUCCUCUGCAGCUGGUAGCUUCUGUCAUUUCUUUUCCUAUUUAUACCAGUCCUGAAUCAGCUUCUUUUUCAGAACCAUGCAUUUCUCUCGGUAGAGGUCG